rnacentral:rRNA from 1 species
UACGGAGGAUGCAAGCGUUAUCCGGAAUUAUUGGGCGUAAAGCGUCCGUAGGUGGCGAAUCAAGUCUGUUGUCAAAGCGUGCGGCUUAACCGCAUACGGGCGAUGGAAACUGGUUUGCUAGAGUGCGAUAGGGGUCACAGGAAUUCCCAGUGUAGCGGUGAAAUGCGUAGAUAUUGGGAAGAACACCAGCGGCGAAAGCGUGUGGCUGGGUCUGCACUGACACUGAUGGACGAAAGCUAGGGUAGCGAAA